rnacentral:ribozyme from 1 species
AGCCCAGCUAAAAGAUGGUUGUGUUCUUCGACGGAAAGGAUAGGGUAUCGUUCCGAUUUAGUUUGGCGUAUAAUAGAGGAAUACAGAAUCGCGAGCCAGCACAUUACCAAUGCGACAACCAACAGGAACGCAUCUUUGGUCCGCAUGGCAAGUCGCAUCAUGCAUCCCUUGUUGGACCGUCCAAUGUUCC